AUCGAACGCUGGCGGCAGGCCUAACACAUGCAAGUCGAGCGAGCGGCGGACGGGUGAGUAAUGUAUGGGGACUGCCCGAUAGAGGGGGAUUACUACUGGAAACGGUAGCUAAUACCGCAUACUAUCGGAUAACCCAUAUGGGAUUAGAUCGUAGGUGUGGUAAUGGCUCACCUUGGCGACGAUCCCGCGCUGGUCUGAGAGGAUGAUGAGGCGCACUGGGACUGAGACACGGCCCAGACGGCUACGGAGGCAGCAGGGGGGAAUAUUGCGCAAUGGGCGCAAGCCGGAUGCGGCCGUGCCGCGGGUGUGAAGAAGGCCCUAGGGUUGUAAAGGACUUUCAGUCGGGAGGCGUUACCUACAGAAGAAGCACCGGCUAACUCCGUGCCAGCAGCCGCGGUAAUAC
rnacentral:rRNA from 1 species